rnacentral:rRNA from 1 species
UUGAACGCUGGCGGCAUGCCUUACACAUGCAAGUCGAACGGUAGAGGGGCAACCCUUGAGAGUGGCGAACGGGUGAGUAAUAUAUCGGAACGUGCCCAGUCGUGGGGGAUAACGCAGCGAAAGCUGCGCUAAUACCGCAUACGAUCUAUGGAUGAAAGCGGGGGAUCGCAAGACCUCGCGCGAUUGGAGCGGCCGAUAUCAGAUUAGGUAGUUGGUGGGGUAAAAGCCCACCAAGCCGAC